GAUGAACGCUGGCGGCGUGCCUAAUACAUGCAAGUCGAGCGAACGGACGAGAAGCUUGCCUUUCUGAUGUUAGCGGCGGACGGGUGAGUAACACGUGGAUAACCUACCUAUAAGACUGGGAUAACUUCGGGAAACCGGAGCUAAUACCGGAUAAUAUUUUGAACCGCAUGGUUCAAAAGUGAAAGACGGUCUUGCUGUCACUUAUAGAUGGAUCCGCGCUGCAUUAGCUAGUUGGUAAGGUAACGGCUUACCAAGGCAACGAUGCAUAGCCGACCUGAGAGGGUGAUCGGCCACACUGGAACUGAGACACGGUCCAGACUCCUACGGGAGGCAGCAGUAGGGAAUCUUCCGCAAUGGGCGAAAGCCUGACGGAGCAACGCCGCGUGAGUGAUGAAGGUCUUCGGAUCGUAAAACUCUGUUAUUAGGGAAGAACAUAUGUGUAAGUAACUGUGCACAUCUUGACGGUACCUAAUCAGAAAGCCACGGCUAACUACG
rnacentral:rRNA from 1 species